rnacentral:rRNA from 1 species
AUGCCCUGCUUCCAGGAAAAGCCUCUAAGCAUCAGGUAACAUCAAAUCGUACCCCAAACCGACACAGGUGGUCAGGUAGAGAAUACCAAGGCGCUUGAGAGAACUCGGGUGAAGGAACUAGGCAAAAUGGUGCCGUAACUUCGGGAGAAGGCACGCUGACACGUAGGUGAAGUGAUUUACUCACGGAGCUGAAGUCAGCCGAAGAUACCAGCUGGCUGCAACUGUUUAUUAAAAACACAGCACUGUGCAAACACGAAAGUGGACGUAUACGGUGUGACGCCUGCCCGGUGCCGGAAGGUUAAUUGAUGGGGUCAGCGCAAGCGAAGCUCCUGAUCGAAGCCCCGGUAAACGGCGGCCGUAACUAUAACGGUCCUAAGGUAGCGAAAUUCCUUGUCGGGUAAGUUCCGACCUGCACGAAUGGCGUAAUGAUGGCCAGGCUGUCUCCACCCGAGACUCAGUGAAAUUGAACUCGCUGUGAAGAUGCAGUGUACCCGCGGCAAGACGGAAAGACCCCGUGAACCUUUACUAUAGCUUGACACUGAACAUUGAGCCUUGAUGUGUAGGAUAGGUGGGAGGCUUUGAAGUGUGGACGCCAGUCUGCAUGGAGCCGACCUUGAAAUACCACCCUUUAAUGUUUGAUGUUCUAACGUGGACCCGUGAUCCGGGUUGCGGACAGUGUCUGGUGGGUAGUUUGACUGGGGCGGUCUCCUCCUAAAGAGUAACGGAGGAGCACGAAGGUUGGCUAAUCCUGGUCGGACAUCAGGAGGUUAGUGCAAUGGCAUAAGCCAGCUUGACUGCGAGCGUGACGGCGCGAGCAGGUGCGAAAGCAGGUCAUAGUGAUCCGGUGGUUCUGAAUGGAAGGGCCAUCGCUCAACGGAUAAAAGGUACUCCGGGGAUAACAGGCUGAUACCGCCCAAGAGUUCAUAUCGACGGCGGUGUUUGGCACCUCGAUGUCGGCUCAUCACAUCCUGGGGCUGAAGUAGGUCCCAAGGGUAUGGCUGUUCGCCAUUUAAAGUGGUACGCGAGCUGGGUUUAGAACGUCGUGAGACAGUUCGGUCCCUAUCUGCCGUGGGCGCUGGAGAACUGAGGGGGGCUGCUCCUAGUACGAGAGGACCGGAGUGGACGCAUCACUGGUGUUCGGGUUGUCAUGCCAAUGGCACUGCCCGGUAGCUAAAUGCGGAAGAGAUAAGUGCUGAAAGCAUCUAAGCACGAAACUUGCCCCGAGAUGAGUUCUCCCUGAGACUUUAGGUCUCCUGAAGGAACGUUGAAGACGACGACGUUGAUAGGCCGGGUGUGUAAGCGCAGCGAUGCGUUGAGCUAACCGGUACUAAUGAACCGUGAGGCUUAACCUUACAACGCCGAAG